rnacentral:rRNA from 1 species
AGAAUCAACGCUGGCGGCGUGCCUAACACAUGCAAGUCGAACGAGAAAGUGGAGCAAUCCAUGAGUAAAGUGGCGCACGGGUGAGUAACACGUGACUAACCUACCCUUGAGUGGGGGAUAACCUCGGGAAACCGGGGCUAAUACCGCAUAAUACCUACGGGUCAAAGGAGCAAUUCGCUUUAGGAGGGGGUCGCGGCAGAUUAGUUAGUUGGCGGGGUAAUGGCCCACCAAGACGGUGAUCUGUAU